rnacentral:lncRNA from 1 species
CAACUUUUUGGGCUAUGUUGCAAAACUUAAACUUUUGAGCUCAUUUUGUAAAAACACAAAAGUCCAUUACUUCAUGUAAUUACAACUAGAACCCAAAAAUUUCAACAAAUUCAAAAACUUCAUUAAAGGAACAAAACAAUUUGUCCUUUAAUGAUUUUGGGCCUUUACGUAAAUACGUAAACUUUUGGGGUCAAAGUGCAAAUACACAAAAGUAUCAAAACUUUAUGUAAUUGCAUAAAAGCCCCAAAACUACCCCACUUGUAGGGUGGCCGGUUUUGGUGAGAGUGAAGGGAGUGAUGUGUGUUGAUUUGUAGGUUUGACAUAAAGUCAUGCAAGUGGUGUGUGUGUAAGAGAAGUACUUCUUACACACCCAUCACCAUUUCUAUCACCUUUCAAAAUUUCAAUCACAUUUAAACAUUUGAAAAAGCACAAAACAAAGACUUUAUGAAAUAAAUCAAAACACCAAACCUUUUUGUUCUUGGUAAGAACCUCAAGAACAAUGAAGAACAUCCAUGAAAACCCAUAAGAGUUCCAUGAACAUUUUCACUCAAUAAAACACAAAUUUUCACUACUCAAAAUGGGGUUAACAUCCUAGGGUACUUAGGGGUUCCAAAAGUCACCUUAAACACUUUUAACAAGACAAACAAGAACCCAAAAAAAACCACCAUUUGGAUUAGCCGAAUUUCCCCAAAAACAUGGCACCAAAUUUUAGCUCCAAAAUUCAUGCUCAUAUGAACUACAUCUACAACAUUUGAGAUGGCAAAUUUUCUAACAAAAUUUACAUUCAAAGAAGCAAGAAUACAGCUGUAGACAUCGAAAUUUCGGUAAAAUAAAUGUUGAUCAAUAAUUAAAAUUUCAAUGUUUAUGUGUCACAUAAAUUUUACACAUAGCAUGUGACUAAACGAAAAAUUAAAAUAAAUCGGAAAAGUCAUCAAACAGGACACAUGUCAACACCUGGCAGAAAUGAUUUAUUUCAUCUGAUUAUUUAAAUCCAAAAAAAUCAAGUUUUGGAAUUCUAUAAAUAGGAGGCCAAGGCAUUCAUUUUUGGACACCAAUUCAUAACCAAUUCACCUUAUACCACAACCUCGAAGCUUUGAAACUCCAAAGCUCCUAAGCAAAUCCCGAAGGAUCAAGAAAGCUCUC